rnacentral:tRNA from 1 species
GCCGGGGUAGCCCAACGGCAGAGGUGGCCCGUUCAAACCGGGUGCAGUGCGGGUUCGAAUCCCGCCCACGGCA